rnacentral:rRNA from 1 species
UGAGGAACAUGACUUUCGGCGGGGGAUAGCCGGGCCCAACGGCCGGGUAAUACCGCGUACGACCACAUGGGGACAUCCCUGAGUGGUGAAAGCAGCAAUGCGCCGAUGGAGUGCCUCGCGGCCUAUCAGCUAGUUGGUGAGGUAACGGCUCACCAAGGCAACGACGGGUAGCUGGUCUGAGAGGAUGGCCAGCCACAUUGGGACUGAGACACGGCCCAGACCUCUACCGGGGAGG